rfam:Myotis brandtii contig266531, whole genome shotgun sequence.
GGCCUCCCUCUGUGGGGCAAUUGAUCGCGGAGCCCUCUCCCAUUGAUCACCCCGCAGAGGGUGGCC